rnacentral:rRNA from 1 species
UACGAAGGGGGCUAGCGUUGCUCGGAAUCACUGGGCGUAAAGCACACGUAGGCGGAUUUCUAAGUCAGGGGUGAAAUCCUGGAGCUCAACUCCAGAACUGCCUUUGAUACUGGGAAUCUCGAGUCCGGGAGAGGUGAGUGGAACUGCGAGUGUAGAGGUGAAAUUCGUAGAUAUUCGCAAGAACACCAGUGGCGAAGGCGGCUCACUGGCCCGGUACUGACGCUGAGGUGCGAAAGCGUGGGGAGCAAACAGG